rnacentral:sRNA from 1 species
UUUUGGUAAUAAAUUGAUUAACAAACGAAAAACAUUCGAAAUAUAUUUCAAUCCUAUAUAUCACGCAGAUUUCUCCAAAAUUUAAACUAGAUUUUGGCAACUAUUUAAAACAAAAAAUGUUUGACAAACUAAAAUACAAUUGCAAUCCCUUAAAAUGAGCAAAACGCACCUAAAUACAUUUUUUACAAUUCACUAAAUCUUAUUUCUCCAAAAUUUGAACUAGAUUUCGGCAACUAUUUAAAACAAAAAUUUGUUUGACAAACUAAAAUACAAUUGCAAUCCCGUAAAAUAUUUAUUUAAAUUAGCGGUGUACUACAGGUUUUUUUACGGAACGGGUUUGGCAAGACGGGUUUGGAAGAACUUUACUUAAUAACAAUUGUAAACUAUAAAAUAAAAAU